UACGGAGGGGGCUAGCGUUGUUCGGAAUUACUGGGCGUAAAGCGCACGUAGGCGGAUAGUUAAGUUGGGGGUGAAAUCCCGGGGCUCAACCCCGGAACUGCCUUCGAUACUGGCUGUCUGGAGGUCGAGAGAGGUGAGUGGAAUUCCGAGUGUAGAGGUGAAAUUCGUAGAUAUUCGGAGGAACACCAGUGGCGAAGGCGGCUCACUGGCUCGAUUCUGACGCUGAGGUGCGAAAGCGUGGGGAGCAAACAGG
rnacentral:rRNA from 1 species